rnacentral:rRNA from 1 species
GACGAACGCUGGCGGCGUGCUUAACACAUGCAAGUCGAACGGAAAGGCCCUGCUUUUGUGGGGUGCUCGAGUGGCGAACGGGUGAGUAACACGUGAGUAACCUGCCCUUGACUUUGGGAUAACUUCAGGAAACUGGGGCUAAUACCGGAUAGGAGCUCCUGCUGCAUGGUGGGGGUUGGAAAGUUUCGGCGGUUGGGGAUGGACUCGCGGCUUAUCAGCUUGUUGGUGGGGUAGUGGCUUACCACGGCUUUGACGGGUAGCCGGCCUGAGAGGGUGACCGGCCACAUUGGGACUGAGAUACGGCCCAGACUCCUACGGGAGGCAGCAGUGGGGAAUAUUGCACAAUGGGCGGAAGCCUGAUGCAGCAACGCCGCGUGCGGGAUGACGGCCUUCGGGUUGUAAACCGCUUUCGCCUGUAACGAAGCGUGAGUGACGGUAAUGGGUAAAGAAGCACCGGCUAACUACGUG